AGCAGCAGCCGCGGUAAUACAGAGGGUGCAAGCGUUAAUCGGAAUUACUGGGCGUAAAGCGCGCGUAGGUGGUUCGCCAAGUUGGAUGUGAAAUCCCCGGGCUCAACCUGGGAACUGCAUCCAAAACUGGCGAGCUAGAGUAUGGUAGAGGGUGGUGGAAUUUCCUGUGUAGCGGUGAAAUGCGUAGAUAUAGGAAGGAACAUCAGUGGCGAAGGCGACCACCUGGACUGAUACUGACACUGAGGUGCGAAAGCGUGGGGAGCAAACAGGAUUAGAUACCCCAGUAGUCCCUGUCUCUUAUAC
rnacentral:rRNA from 1 species